UUUGGGAAUGGUGGGGACAUGGUGGGCACCAUAUUUUCAUUUAUUGGGCUGCACACAUCAAAGUGGAGGGUCCUCCUUUUGUUGGCUAUGAUUGAAGGAAGUGUUGAAAGAAGUUGAUGGAAGGAGCACAUCAUACAACUCUCGGCAUCCAGCAGAUGGAGAAAUCACAUUUCAAUUAUUUCUCUUAAGUGGAGACAACAUAAUGAAGAGAAGGGACCACCACCCCACUUGGAGAAGCACCUCACGGUUUUUCUCUCUAGCUGCACCGAAGUGUCUUCUCUUCCUUUCUAUUGAUGAGCUUCAAGUAAAGACACCAAGGCAACCAUGAGAGACCAACAAGCAUACGUAGCUGCCACAAAAGAAGUCCAGCCAUUACAACCAUGGAAGAAAAAGGGGAGAGAGUUGCUGGAAAAAUCUGGAAGAGUUGCUGCAAGAUCUGGGAGAGGUGAAACGGAGAGCGUCCGGAGCUGCAGCUACAAACCUUGGGAAGAUUGAUUCAAGAGGGGUGUUGGAUGCUGCAUCCAGAGAAGUGGAGAGCUCGUGGAUUUGGAAGGUGAUCCGCACACUGUAUUUCAAGAAUUUCAAGGAGGUCUUCAAGAGAUGUUGUCGAGGAGAGUCCUUUAGAGCAGGAGCUGGAGGAUACUAAGGUUGCGGAGUAGUCUUCUUAGGAGUUUCCCAUAUGGACACGUGUAGUGUUCGACUCUUUAAGCUAUUUAAGUUCGAAUUUUCGUUUUCUUUUAUUUCUGGAUGACUGUAAUUUUACAUUUAAUUACACGUCAUGAUCCGACUGUUCUCUUUAUUGGAAUGUUGACGUCUUGAUUAUGUAAUAUUGGUUAUUAUAUAAUCGGGAUGUUACAGUAUUACUCUGAAUUAAUUAGGAUAAUCACUG